CAACCCUCAAGCUCUGCUUGGUAUUGGGCUUCACCAGUUCUGGUGUGCCUCAAAAUCAGUGGCGGUGCCAUUCGGCUUCAAGCGUAGUAAUUCUUCUCGCUUUGGAGACCCGGGUGUGUGCCUGCCAACAACCCCCAAUUUUUUAAA
rnacentral:misc_RNA from 1 species